rnacentral:lncRNA from 1 species
GGCCCUUUACCUCAUCCCUCAAACCUCCACAACUCCCUUGACCUCCUCCUUCACCUCCUUCCCCUUCCCAUCCUUCUCACAAGCACUUUCCUCAACCUCAAAAGCACUUACAGGAAAAGUCCUAAACAACCCAGCAGGGGUCUUGAAGGUGAUCUUCCCAGUUGGAGGGUCAUCAACGUAAAUGUCACUGAGCUGCACCCACACCAAGAGCUCCUUGGUCUUCACCCCUGUCAGCUUCUUGAUCUUGCCCUUCUCAACAAUGGCUGUGACCUCAGGGGCAUAACUGACCAACUUCCCAAUUUUCUCAAACUUGUGGGUGUAGCUCUUCUUCUGUUUGAGCCACACAAAGCCAGUUUCUCGGAUAAUCCCACACUCCUCAAUGUCCUUGAGGGGCAAGAGGCCAUUGGGGAGGGAGAUUUCUGAGAGAAGCUGCUUUGCUUUUUGUUGGCAGAUUUCAUCUCCAUGGUAGAGCUCAUCUGCUUUGGACUUGAUCUCUGCUGUGAUGAGAGAGGACAUUUUGGUCUUUUUCUAAUUUUGUUGGGGAUUGGUCUAUAUUUUGUGAAGGUGGCGAGUAAGUUGAGAGUUGGGGUUGGGAUGUUUGAAGUGGAAAGUGUUGGGGUUUAUGUAGGUGGGGAGAUAGUACUUUGCCCUUGUAGUUUGUCUAAAUCACCAAAAUGCCAUUGGAGUUUUGCCCUUGUAUGUCCAAAAGAAUUGCAAGAUGUGCCAUUUGGGUUUUUUUUUUUUUAACAAACUAUAUUAUUUAUACAUUUUAGGUUUGAUUCCUAAGGUUUAGGGUUUAGGUUUGAUUCCUAGCGCUGGUGAAUCACACGAUGGUAAUCAAAUGGAGGCUAAAAUGUCUUUGUAAGUAUUUCCGGUGCCCGAAAGAGUGGACUGAUAUUGUAAAGCCACCGGUUGAUCUGUUUGAAAAAAAAUAUUUAUCAUCCUUACAUUCAUGCAAAUCAAACGUGAAAUCCAUCCAACCAAAUGAAUACAAAGGAUAACACUCUAAAAAUGUGAUCAUACACACACUCCUUGCUGUACAAAUUUCCCCACAUCCGCAAAAUAAUUAUCACUAAACCAAAAGCUAAUUGGUGAUUGAUUUGAGUUAAGCCCAUGCAACUUAAUCCAUAAACAUCUAACUUAAUCCAUAGUGGUGGAAAUGUGUUGUCAUUACAUGACGACGUGAGUUCGAAUCCCGUCGGUAGCUAAUUUAACAUCUAACUUGAAGAGUAGGGGCCUUUAGGAUCCAUCAUGCACACAUUUGGAAAUGGAUCCUCUUCAGAUCCCUUCCUCCUAAUCCACAAAAUUAGGGAAUCCGUUCUGUUAAAAUUUGAUUCAGGGAAUGAAGUUAUUAUAACUUUUAAAGUGAGCCCCUGUUUAUAACAAUUUGAUCAAAUUUUAACAACACAGAUUCUCUGAUUUUGUGGAUUAGGAGGAAUGGAUCCGGUCCAUUUCCCACACAUUUAUGGUGCAGUUGGGAGGAGUUAUGGUGAAAUUAAGGUUGGGAAGAGGGGGGUUGAGGUGUAGCCACUCAUAUAGCUCCACGUCUAUUGUAGUUGGGGAACGGUAACGAGAUGGGAGAAGAACCGGGAAACAAAAUCACGUCCGCUCACCUCACCUACACCCCUUUAAUUAUUCUUUUUUUUUUUUAAGAUUUUAGUACAUGCAACAAUAAAUAAUUCAAAUUGGGUCCCUUCUUUUACUUCAAUUUUGCUGCUACCUCCCAUCCAACCAACUCUUUAUUUGACAUCUAAAGAUUACUAUUUACAGAAAAAGACAAUGACAAAGAAAAAUGUAGUUCAGACGCUGGCCACUGAUCUAAAAGUUUCCGUCUAACGUUAGUUAGGUCUCGUUUAGUGUCGCUAGGUGACUGACUACUGUUAUGAUAAAUUUCUAUUUAAAAAAAUAAGAAAUGACGUAUAAAUAUGCUUAGAUGGUCACUUGGUUUGUCUAAAUCACAACUCUUAUUUAGACAAAAAAUAAAUUAUUUCUAUUUUGAUUUUAUUUUUUCAAUAAAUUGAGAAUUGUUAAAUAUUUGGAUGAACACUCAUUAUAUGUUUGUUCUUUAUGUUUUCAAUAUGCUCUAAUACUUUAAAAUUGGUCUCAUCGGAUAAAUAUUCAUUACGAUGAUAAAGUACACAGAAGAUAGUCCCAUGGUAAAAAAAAAAUUUGAAUUUAACCCUCGUGGUAUAGUCCUUUAGCAAAUUAAUCCAAAAAUGAUUUUUCUGUUAAAUGUCCGUUAAAUAUAGAAAUAAAAUGUACUUUAACGUGUGCACACCUUCUUCUUCCUACUAUAUUUUGCAUGGAUUUGGAUCGCAUCCGGAUCCAAAUUGUGGGAAUUAUAAGGAUCUUCACAUCUUAGCCAUUCAUCAUGCAUCGUGUAGUAAAAAAUUAUUUGACUUUUUUUAUUUAAAAUUAAACACAAAUAGUAUCUGAUGAAAACUGAUCACACAAUAUAUGAUGAACGGCUAGAAUGUGAGGAUCUUUAAGAUCCUCACAAACAAGGUUCUAAAAGACAUUAGGCGCUCGUCGGGUGCGGGUUGGGGCCUAGGUCCUAAGGGGCUAGGCGGGCGCCUCGGCGGACUAGGCGGAUUUAAGUAAAUAUAUUAUAUUCAUGUAAAUAAGUAUAUGUUUAUACUUAAAAUAUAUAUAAAUUCAUCAUAAACUACAAAAUAGAAUGACAUAUAUAUUAUGAAGUAUUAGAACAUAAUGAAAACAUAGAGAACAUGCAUAUAAUGUGUGUUCAUUGAAUUAUUCAACAAGUCUCUUACAAUAUAUUGAAAAAAAAAUAAAAUGAAAAAUGAAAAAUAUCUAUUUUCUAUAUAAGCUAGUUGCAACAUAGGCAGGUCUAGACGGACGCCUUAGCAGGUUUAUGCGCUCUUUCUUAAUUUUCAAAUACUUAAGCAUUAAUCGGAACGGUGACUAACCGUCUAUGCGCUAGACGAGAAUUUUUAGAACAGUGUCCACAAAAAAGAUCCGGAGAGGAUCCUUUUUUUUAAGAUUUUAGUACAUGCAACAAUAAAUAAUUCAAAUUGGGUUCCUUUUUUUACUUCAAUUUUGCUGCUACCUCCCAUCCAACCAAUUCUUUAUUUGACAUUUAAAGAUUACUAUUUACAGAAAAAGAAAAUGAUAAAGAAAAAUGACAGAAAGAAAAUAAAUUUCAAAAUAAAAAUUAUUUAUUUUCUAUUUAAGUGAGUUGAAACCUAGGCAUGUCUAAGCAGGUGCUUAGGAGGACGUCUUAGCAGGUUUAGACGUCAUUUCUUAAUUUUUAAAUACUUAAACAUUAAUCGAAAUGGUAAUUAACCGUCUAUGCGCUAGACAAAAUUUUUUAAAAUAGUGUCCACAAAAAAGAUCCUGAGGAUCUCUUCCUAAUAGAGCAACAACUCAAGAAAGCCGUACAUAAAAAGGGACAGCUAUUCGCACACGCUUGUUCAUCCAAAUCUCCACCGCGCCAUAAGUCGGUCGCCUUUUCCAACACCAAGUGAACGUCUAGUAACAAACAAAAAACAACACGUUUGCACAAACAAAUUAAGCAAAAAAUGGUUCAAGAAUAUGUAAAGAGAUUGUAUUGAUAAAUUAGUUAAUUACCUUGGAAUAAGACUUCUUCCAAUUCACCUUUUCACCGUUCGCCUUUUCCAACACCAAUUCACCGUUCGCCCCAACUUUUUCCCCAAAACAAAAUAUCCUGCAAACCCACAAGAAUGCGGGUCUAAAUUUUUUAAACUAAAUGAUGUGGUUGUUGAUGAUCAAAUUAUUACUUAAGUAUUGAUUAAUGUAAUUAUUUUCUAUUAAUGACACAUCAUUUAAUUAAAAUUUUGAUAUCCCUAGCAUUACCCAACCCACAAAUAUCAACACAAAACCCACUUCAGAAUUUCAAUCAAAAUCCAUAAUUUAAACAAAAAUAUGACAGACGCCCAAAACAAGAACAGCACCGGGAGCCGUGAGCAUCAAGCCAUUGGAUUUGGGGACUAGUGCUUCUGUAUGUGAUGUCACUGCACUCCCAUCACGGUGCACGGCAGCCCCAAUCCCACACCCAGAAACGUGUCAUGGAGAGGUGUGGUUGGAUCAACUCGAUGCCGCCAGAUGUGAACACCAGCAGCGUUUUGGAAUUUGAGAUUGUGAUUCUGAAUGAACUAGGUUGCUGGGAUUCGAAUGUGAGUUUGGUUUUGAGUUUUCUGUCGAGAAAUGGUGAGGUGCGUUUUGAUUGGUGAGGACAUAGCUUGGCCUCUCCGAUGAAGGACCAUGUGCUUGCUGGUAUACAAGAUGCAAAUACAACAUCCUAAAAUGGAAGAAAGUGAGAUUACAAAGAGAGGGAAGAUGAAGGUGUACGGGUCAAAUUACAUUUUUAUUCUGUAUUUAAUGAACAUUUAACUGAAAAUCAACUUUGGACUAAAUUUGCUAAAGUUGCAUACCACCACGAAGAAAAAUGAUGUUACAAUCUAAGGGGAGAAUUUGAGCUUAGACGUUUUUUCAUAUUGAAAGAUGAAUUUAAAAAAAACUAAAUGUUUAUCGAAAGAAAAAUUCAAAUUUAGAUGCAUGACGAUGCAACAGAUUAAUUAUAAUAGAGUUAGUCAAUUACGAUACAAAAGUUGGGCACCAUGAGAAAGGGUCUACAAAUUCCCCCAUUUUGCAAAAAGUAUUACGUAAAUAAAAGUAUGGGACAAGCUUGUAAACUUGGUUUACCCAAAAAGGAUAAAAUGCCCCAUCUCUAUAAAUUUUCUGUCUCCAAGAUAUUUUCUUUUAAGUGCAUGUAUUCAUAAAGUCUAGGAUGAUGUGUUAACUUUUCUUAAUUUGUAAGAUUUUAAUUUUUUUGGAAGUUUUGGCAAUUGUUUUGUUAUUUUGGAUCCGUUUCACAUUAUCAUUUGGUUUGAAGUUACUUAUUUUUCACUACAUUGACUCUUGUCAAUUUAAAUUUCAAAGACAACAUUGUUCGAGCAAAAACAAAUGAACAAACAAAUUUUGUUUUUUGCUUGACUAUAAGGAUGACGAUGACAUUUUUUUUCAAAACAUUUAUACAUCAAAUUGAAUAACAUAAUUUUUACAUCUUAAGUUCGAUUUCUGGUACUGGUGAAUCAUGUACUCGAUGAUGGCAGAGGAGGUUGAAAUGCCAUUUCGGCCUGCAAAAUAGUAGAUUGUCGUAGCGAAGUUACCCGCUAAUCCGUUCUUUAAAAUAAUGAAAUAUUUAUAAAACUUUGCUUGCGAAAUAAGUACGAUAGAGAAGUAAAAUAUUAAUGAUUGUGUAUCAACAUGGCCUCGCAACAUAAAUUAGCACUCAACAUCUAUAAAUGCAUUAACUUUCCAAUAAAUAAUAAGAAUUACUCAUAAAUUUGAGUGUAGCCGAAUUAGUUGAGUAGCUGACGACGUAUUCACCUAAAUUCAAGUCUUACCCUUUUCCUCUAUACCCAUGCCCAACGGCGCCGCCAGGAGCGACGUCGACGCCACCCGUCGGCCCGAAUGACACUGGGCCGGACCCGGUCAACGUGGUGUUGGGCCCAGGCCCAGUAGCUAUCCUAGUUGAAAUGGGGCCCGCCAGCUGCGGCUCUUGAUUGGGCUGAUCCAAAAGAUACGCAGACGUAUCAAGGGUCGGCAUGCAGAGGCCGACAACACCGGCCAACCGGCUACCGGGUCUCUGUGGCUCCGGCUUCAGAACCGACGGCAUAGUGACUUGUCCGUUACCGAAUCUUACGCCGGUCACCUGUUGCACCAUCUGUCGGAAGUUGCUCAGGUCCGCCGUGAUGAAAGUCGUCUGGGACCGUUUCGACGCGGGAGACUUGCGUUUCGAAACCUUACCACUACCAUUCGCCACCGGAAUCGCGUUUCUCUGCUGGCGUUUAAGGGGAGCGGCAGCCGAAUCCAAAUCGUCCGAGCCGGAGAGUCCCGAAACGGUGGGGGUGGGGGCCGCUUCGGGUGUUUGAACGAUGGUGUUGAGAAAAGGCAUGAAAAAAUCGGCGGAGGAAGAAUCGAGCGGCUCCGGGUUGUUUCCGGAGAGGGACUUCUGGGGCGCCAUGGUGAGGGUUUUGGUGUCGCGGGAAAUGGCGUCGGAGAUCCAGGAGUCGGCGAAGGUGUUGGGCCUGAAAGCCCACGGCUCCAUCAUGCUCGCCACGUUCUCUGACGACGCCAUUAAGCAGCUCAAUCAACUAAAAAUUCAAAAUUUAAAACUGAAAAUUUGAAUUUGAGCAACUGGGUUUUUGUGAAAUCAAUCGGAUUUCAGAUCAUUCUUUUCCGUACGCACUUACAGGAAAAGUCCUAAACAACCCAGCAGGGGUCUUGAAGGUGAUCUUCCCAGUUGGAGGGUCAUCAACGUAAAUGUCACUGAGCUGCACCCACACCAAGAGCUCCUUGGUCUUCACCCCUGUCAGCUUCUUGAUCUUGCCCUUCUCAACAAUGGCUGUGAUCUCAGGGGCAUAACUGACCAACUUCCCAAUUUUCUCAUACUUGUGAGUGUAGCUCUUCUUCUGCUUGAGCCACACAAAGCCAGUUUCUCUGAUAAUCCCACACUCCUCAACGUCCUUGAGGGGCAAGAG